rnacentral:rRNA from 1 species
GCUUAACACAUGCAAGUCGAACGAUGAAGCCCUGCUUGCAGGGUGGAUUAGUGGCGAACGGGUGAGUAACACGUGAGUAACCUGCCCCUGACUCUGGGAUAAGCCCGGGAAACUGGGUCUAAUACCGGAUAUGACUUCCUACUGCAUGGUGGGUUGUUGAAAGAUUUAUCGGUGGGGGAUGGACUCGCGGCCUAUCAGCUUGUUGGUGAGGUAAUGGCUCACCAAGGCGACGACGGGUAGCCGGCCUGAGAGGGUGACCGGCCACACUGGGACUGAGACACGGCCCAGACUCCUACGGGAGGCAGCAGUGGGGAAUAUUGCACAAUGGGCGGAAGCCUGAUGCAGCGACGCCGCGUGAGGGAUGACGGCCUUCGGGUUGUAAACCUCUUUCAGUAGGGAAGAAGCGAAAGUGACGGUACCUGCAGAAGAAGCGCCGGCUAACUACGUGCCAGCAGCCGCGGUAAUACGUAGGGCGCAAGCGUUAUCCGGAUUUAUUGGGCGUAAAGAGCUCGUAGGCGGUUUGUCGCGUCUGCCGUGAAAGUCCGAGGCUCAACCUCGGAUCUGCGGUGGGUACGGGCAGACUAGAGUGAUGUAGGGGAGACUGGAAUUCCUGGUGUAGCGGUGAAAUGCGCAGAUAUCAGGAGGAACACCGAUGGCGAAGGCAGGUCUCUGGGCAUUUACUGACGCUGAGGAGCGAAAGCAUGGGGAGCGAACAGGAUUAGAUACCCUGGUAGUCCAUGCCGUAAACGUUGGGCACUAGGUGUGGGGGGACAUUCCACGUUUUCCGCGCCGUAGCUAACGCAUUAAGUGCCCCGCCUGGGGAGUACGGCCGCAAGGCUAAAACUCAAAGGAAUUGACGGGGGCCCGCACAAGCGGCGGAGCAUGCGGAUUAAUUCGAUGCAACGCGAAGAACCUUACCAAGGCUUGACAUGUGCCAGACCGCUCCAGAGAUGGGGUUUCCCUUCGGGGCUGGUUCACAGGUGGUGCAUGGUUGUCGUCAGCUCGUGUCGUGAGAUGUUGGGUUAAGUCCCGCAACGAGCGCAACCCUCGUUCCAUGUUGCCAGCACGUAGUGGUGGGGACUCAUGGGAGACUGCCGGGGUCAACUCGGAGGAAGGUGGGGAUGACGUCAAAUCAUCAUGCCCCUUAUGUCUUGGGCUUCACGCAUGCUACAAUGGCCGGUACAAUGGGUUGCGAUACUGUGAGGUGGAGCUAAUCCCUAAAAGCCGGUCUCAGUUCGGAUUGGGGUCUGCAACUCGACCCCAUGAAGUCGGAGUCGCUAGUAAUCGCAGAUCAGCAACGCUGCGGUGAAUACGUUCCCGGGCCUUGUACACACCGCCCGUCAAGUCACGAAAGUUGGUAACACCCGAAGCCGAUGGCCUAACCACCUUGUGUGGGGGGAGUCGUCGAAGGUGGGACUGGCGAUUGGGACUAAGUCGUAACAAGGUAG